rnacentral:misc_RNA from 1 species
GUAGGUGAACCUGCGGAAGGAUCAUUAUACGUUUAUCCAACGUACCAACCAACGCGAAUUCGUUUCCCCGUCUGUGUGUCGAGCUUUUCGAGACGAUCAAAAUAUGGUGGGAGAGGCAGCAAUGCUUUUCUGUUUGAUUGUCGGGCGUUCGCGCCAAAAGUUUGGCUUUUAUAUGCACAGCUACCAUUUUUAUAUUCCACAUUUACAAACGCAUUGUAAUCACUUGUACUAAACAUAAAAACAUCGUCUUUGCGUGCAGGCAUACACAAACGCUUUAAAAACGUUUUUUGUUGUCCCGCGUGCAUCGAUCGAACAAAGACAUUAAUUGCUGAACAACUCUUAGCAACGGAUAUCUUGGUUCUC